rnacentral:rRNA from 1 species
CGUCUAUAUACGUAUAGCAUAUCAAUAAGCGGAGGAAAAGAGACUAACAAGGAUUCCCUUAGUAACGGCGAGUGAAGCGGGAAGAUGCUCAAAUUUGAAAUCUUCAAGGUUCUACCUUGACGAAUUGUAGUUUAUAGAAGUGUUUUCUGUUAGUGAAGUUGGCUAAAAGUUCUUUGGAAUAGGACAUCAUAGAGGGUGAGAAUCCCGUAUUUGAUCAUUCCUUCUAGCUGUUGUGAUACACUUUCAACGAGUCGGAUUGUUUAGGGAAUGCAGUCCAAAAUGGGUGGUAAAUUUCAUCUAAAGCUAAAUAUUGGCGAGAGACCGAUAGCGAACAAGUACCGUGAGGGAAAGAUGAAAAGAACUUUGAAAAGAGAGUUAAACAGUACGUGAAAUUGUCAAAAGGGAAGCGUUUGACACCAGUGUUGUUUUCUCGAAAAUCAAUUAAAAAGUGUUGGAUUUUGUAUUGUUAAGACCUUAUCAGCUUACUGUACUCUUUUCCUGCUCUUUUUAAUGCACUUUUCGUUUAACAAGUCAACAUCAAUUUCUUUUGUUGUAAAAGAGUCAUUGGAAGGUGGCUUUCCUUUCGGAUGAAAGUGUUUAUAGCCUUAUGCCUCUACAAUCGGAGAGAUUGAGGUCUGCAGCGUAGAUCCUUCGGGGUUAGAUACAUUUGUGCUAAGUUAUAGCUUUUCAUAGACAACUUGUUGACUAUGUUUAGUCAUUGUAGGCUUACUCGCUUACUGCUAUUUUACCUACGCUUAGGAUGUUGACUGAUAUGUAGUCGUA